GUUGAUCCUUUGCUAUAUCCCACUAAAAUUAGAAUUCAUGGGCUCCAGAAAAAUAAUCUAGGGGGCAAAAAAUCCCACUAGCUUUGCUAAUUCAAAUUAAUCUCACUUCAUUUGUAGAUAAACAUUUACUUUUUAAAUAAAUACAUGGCCGCUUUCUCUUUGAAACGCCAAGCUGUUCACUAUGGAGAGCAUCAUAAAGGAACACGACAUGAGCGCAGCCAUACUGACCCGUGAUUCACCCGAGCAGUGUGGACCUGCCGUCGCUAUAGCAAUGGGCUAGUUCAGCUGGUGGUCUGAUCUAUUGCCUAGCAGAUGUAACCCAUAAUGGUGGUUAUUGUUUCCCUCGGGAAUGUGUGGGCGGUACUCUCGCUCCCGUGCAGCCCUCGCUCCCAUGCAGCUGGAGAGUAUAAAAGGAAGAGGUUCUGCACUAAACCAAGCUAGGAACUUGAGAAGAAAGGUGCUUUCCGUCUCUCUGUCCUCGUCCUUUCAGGUUUAGGACCUGCUGGCAGGAUCCUGAUGUCGUGGCUCGCAACAAGUGGCGCCCCAACAGGGACCUGAAAGUAGAUGAGGAUAUGUAAUCCCGGACCCAGGUCGAAGGUAGCGACGGUGCUCCGGAGGAAGCCCCAGUAUGUGUGAAGUGACAAACCCGAACCAGUGCCACAGACCCCAGUUAGAACAAUAUAAAAGAGAGCGAGAAGACCAGCUCGUCCCACUCGGCGACAGAUCCGGCUCCAGGGCAACCUGCCAGGCGGGAUCUCGGAGGAGACCUCGACGGAGACCUUGGACGCUGCCCGGUGUGGAUCCCGGAUCACCGCGGAGGCCACCAGACGGACAACCGCCAUCGCCAGGAGAGGAGAAACAAAGUCGCGCUCCUCGGACUUGUGCAGGACAGGUAAAACAAAAUGCUGCUCAUCCACAACCCUUUCUAGAUCCAAGAGCAAAGGUAUAGAGACUUCAGAGUACGCAGCACACGAAGCACUGCUC
rnacentral:lncRNA from 1 species